rnacentral:rRNA from 1 species
AACGAACGCUGGCGGCAUGCCUAACACAUGCAAGUCGAACGAGACCUUCGGGUCUAGUGGCGCACGGGUGCGUAACGCGUGGGAACCUGCCCUUAGGUUCGGAAUAACUCCCCGAAAGGGGUGCUAAUACCGGAUAAUGUCUUCGGACCAAAGAUUUAUCGCCUUUGGAUGGGCCCGCGUUGGAUUAGCUAGUUGGUAGGGUAAAAGCCUACCAAGGCGACGAUCCAUAGCUGGUCUGAGAGGAUGAUCAGCCACACUGGGCCUGAGACACGGCCCAGACUCCUACGGGAGGCAGCAGUGGGGAAUAUUGGACAAUGGGCGAAAGCCUGAUCCAGCAAUGCCGCGUGAGUGAUGAAGGCCUUAGGGUUGUAAAGCUCUUUUACCCGGGAUGAUAAUGACAGUACCGGGAGAAUAAGCUCCGGCUAACUCCGUG